ACUUUCCUUGUCCUGGGGUGGUAUGGGAGGCUCAAUGAACGUAUAGUGAGAGCCUCCCUGCUUACACCAUAUCAACACUCUCGCAUCACCUGGGCUUCAUGCUCGGGCUAUGGUGCAAUUUUUGGAACA